rnacentral:rRNA from 1 species
GUGGGGAAUUUUGGACAAUGGGCGCAAGCCUGAUCCAGCCAUGCCGCGUGAGUGAAGAAGGCCUUCGGGUUGUAAAGCUCUUUCGCAAGGGAAGAAAACUUAAGUCUUAAUACGGCUUGAGGAUGACGGUACCUUGAUAAGAAGCACCGGCUAACUACGUGCCAGCAGCCGCGGUAAUACGUAGGGUGCGAGCGUUAAUCGGAAUUACUGGGCGUAAAGCGUGCGCAGGCGGUUUCGUAAGUCAGAUGUGAAAGCCCCGGGCUCAACCUGGGAACUGCGUUUGAAACUGCGAGGCUAGAGUGUGUCAGAGGGGGGUAGAAUUCCACGUGUAGCAGUGAAAUGCGUAGAGAUGUGGAGGAACACCGAUGGCGAAGGCAGCCCCCUGGGAUAACACUGACGCUCAUGCACGAAAGCGUGGGGAGCAAACAGGAUUAGAAACCCGUGUAGUCC